UCUCCGUUGGUGAACCAGCGGAGGGAUCAUUACAGGAUCGAAAGACUCCUAUAACCCCUGUGAACUUACUACAAAUACGUUGCUUCGGCGGGUGCCCCGGGUCUCCCGGGGCGUUCAGCCCGCCGGCAGCCUUCAAAUUCUGUUUCUUUGCGUUGGCAUCUCGAGUAUACAAAAAUAAGUCAAAACUUUCAACAACGGAUCUCUUGGUUCUG
rnacentral:misc_RNA from 1 species